rnacentral:misc_RNA from 1 species
UUUCCGUAGGUGAACCUGCGGAAGGAUCAUUAACAAAUCUAAGAGUGAGCGGGGGCAAGCCUCCGCACACGGACCGGGCACCCGAGAGGGCGUUCGCCUGUAGGCCGCAAGGCGCUGCAGAAAUUGACGUGUAUGUGUGUCUUAAUAAUGUAAUUUUAAUAUAGAACAACUUUUAACAAUGGAUCUCUUGGUUCUG